rnacentral:misc_RNA from 1 species
ACUUAAAUUUUUUUUUUUUUUAACCUCGAGUGCCUGAACUUUUAUCAUUUUUGACUUUGAACUUUUUUUUUCCCUCAAGAUUUAGUUCUUUUCUAACAGAAGUUACGUGUGUGUAGGACAUGUUCGUUAAAUUCAGAUCACAACCAAAAUAAACAAUAGAAAAGAUCUCUAUCUCCAUUGUCAUCUAUGGAGGAUUAAAAGCUUGCACAGAGAGAGAGAGAGUUGUUGGAGACAGAGCCAGGGGCUAAAAGACUUGUUCUGCUUUGCUUUUUUUUUUUUUUUCACUCAUG